rnacentral:rRNA from 1 species
GACGAACGCUGGCGGCGUGCUUAACACAUGCAAGUCGAACGAUGAAGCCGGAGCUUGCUCCGGUGGAUUAGUGGCGAACGGGUGAGUGACACGUGAGCAAUCUGCCCUUGACUCUGGGAUAACUGCGGGAAACUGUAGCUAAUACCGGAUACGACACCUUGGGGCAUCCCCGGGUGUGGAAAGAAUUUCGGUCAAGGAUGAGCUCGCGGCCUAUCAGCGAGGUGGGGGGGUAAUGGCUCACCAAGGCCACGACGGGAAGCCGGCCUGAGAGGGUGACCGGCCACACUGGAACUGAGACACGGUCCAGACUCCUACGGGAGGCAGCAGUGGGGAAUAUUGCACAAUGGGCGAAAGCCUGAUGCAGCAACGCCGCGUGAGGGAUGAAGGCCUUCGGGUUGUAAACCUCUUUUAGCAGGGAAGAAGCGAAAGUGACGGUACCUGCAGAAAAAGCACCGGCUAACUACGUGCCAGCAGCCGCCGUAA